AAGAGACCUAAUUCUUAACCUAGGACCCCUCUUCUUCACCCUUGCAAGAAAAAAAAAAGCAGUCAUCUCUCACACACAAGAAAACCCUAGGACCACUCUUCUUCUUCUCUAACCUAGACACCCUAGGAGCACACUCCCUAAUUCCCCAUGACCUAGCUGCUACCCCGCCAAAAAACUUGCCGGAAAAAGAAUGGCCUCCAUCCCCUGAACCACCAAGCCGCCGGCAAACCAGUGGCCUUACCCCCAUCCCCAGUUGUCGACCUCUCCUACACAAAGAACCGCCGCCAGUAGCAACCUGGUGUGAGAUUGUGAUCGAACUUUCUUGUUGCUCAAGCUGCUCAACAUAUCUUUGAUUUGUUCUUCUUCAUUAAACUCCCAAAGUGAUUCAAAUUUGGUUAGCUUCUCAAGUCAAGCAAAGUUUCCCGUGAACCUUUCGAUUCUUCGAGGUGUCCUGUUUGCGGCGCUUGGUCAAUAGUGUUUCUAGUUCAAUUGAGGUCCGAUCUAGCUUUCGUCGCUCGUUUUUCAGUCUUGUGCUACCAAACAUUUGGGUUUAAAGGUGUUGUUUUUGUUGAGGGGCUAAGGAUACUUUCUUCAAUGGAUUGCCUAGUAAAGUCAUUUUUCUAUGAUGUUGAGACAUAUCCUUCUCUUCUUUUGCUGUUAGCCGGCUUGAACACAACUUUACUCUUUUUUGGCAUUUUCUCAGUCUUCUUCUGAUCUUCUUCUUUCUAUUCUUUUUGUUUUUGCAAUUGACCUCUUUAUUUUGUUGUUUUUGUGUGAUUUCUGGAGUCAGCAGAUUUUGAGGUUUUUCAUUACUGCUCACAUUAGCCUUGCUCCCCUCUUGUUCAAUGGUUAACUGAUUGCCAUUUCCUUGAUUCUGAGUCUCUUUUUCUUCUUCUUUAUUUUCAGUUUUUUUUUCUAGAGCUCUGCAAUUGAUCAUGUAAUGACCAAUUUUCCUAUAGUGUUUACAAUAUUUUGGUACUCCUUCAUACU